rnacentral:rRNA from 1 species
GCUUUAUUAAUAAAACAUUUAUAUCUUUAGUUGAAAUUAAAUAUAAGUAUCCUAUUAAUUGGAUUGGGGUGAUAAGAAAAUAAUUAAACUUUUCUUGGGUGAACAAUUAUGAUUGAAUAAGUGAUCCUUUAUUAGGGAUUUAAAGUUUAAGU